rnacentral:rRNA from 1 species
UAAGAGCGCGUGGAGGACCGAACCCACUUCAGUUGAAAAUGGAGGGGGAUGAGCUGUGGGUAGGGGGUGAAAGGCCAAUCAAACUCCGUGAUAGCUGGUUCUCCCCCGAAAUGCAUUUAGGUGCAGCGUCACGUGUUUUCUUCCCGGAGGUAGAGCUACUGGAUGGACGAUGGGCCCUACAAGGUUACUGACUUCAGCCAAACUCCGAAUGCCGGGGAAGUGAGAGCGUGGCAGUGAGACUGUGGGGGGGAUAAGCUUCAUAGUCGAGAGGGGAAAACAGCCCCAGACCACCCGGUUUAAAGGGCCCCCCUAAGCGUGUGCUAAGUGGGGAAAGGGAAUGUGGGAGUUGCUGAGACAACCAGGGAGGUUGGCUUAGAAGCAGCCACCCUUGAAAGAGUGCGUAAUAGCUCACUGGUCAAGUGAUUCCGCGCCGACAAUGUAGCGGGGGCUCAAGUACACCGCCGAAACCGUGGCAUUCAGUUUUGCUGGAUGGGUAGGGGGAGCGUCGUUCACGAGGUGAAGCCAGCGGGUAACUUC